ACUGAACGCUGGCGGCAUGCUUUACACAUGCAUGUCGAACGGUAACAGGGUGCUUGCACCGCUGACGAGUGGCGAACGGGUGAGUAAUGCGUCGGAACGUGCCGAGUAGUGGGGGAUAACGCAGCGAAAGUUGUGCUAAUACCGCAUACGUACUGAGGUAGAAAGUGGGGGACCUUCGGGCCUCACGCUAUUCGAGCGGCCGACGUCUGAUUAGCUAGUAGGUGAGGUAAAGGCUCACCUAGGCGACGAUCAGUAGCGGGUCUGAGAGGAUGAUCCGCCACACUGGGACUGAGACACGGCCCAGACUCCUACGGGAGGCAGCAGUGGGGAAUUUUGGACAAUGGGCGAAAGCCUGAUCCAGCCAUGCCGCGUGUCUGAAGAAGGCCUUCGGGUUGUAAAGGACUUUUGUCGGGGAGGAAAUCCCCAGCGUUAAUACCGCUGGGGGAUGACAGUACCUGAAGAAUAAGCACCGGCUAACUACGUGCCAGCCGCCGCGGUAA
rnacentral:rRNA from 1 species